rnacentral:pre_miRNA from 1 species
GCACUUGUCAAGAGCUCUCUCUGUGACCUGCGUGUAUCCACAAUCCGCAUCACAGUCUGAGUUCUUGCUGAGCGU